AGUAACAAAAAAGAGAUAAAUAUUAUACCACGAAAGAAAGUGAGCUAAAUAUAUAUAGUUGUAUUGCAUACGUAGCAUAGUAUGUAUAAAAUAUUUAUUUAGGAGUGAUAGGCUUUUCAAGCGUUCUUAUAACUUGUUUCAUAUGAAAAGUAUUAAGUACCUGAACAGAUUUAAAAAGUUAAGCUUUUAAAUAACUAUUAAGAACAUUAUUUCCCUGUAGUGUAGUAUAAUAACUGUCUACGUAGGAACUUAACAUAAAGUAUGGUAAUUUAUAUUUUAUAGUAUGGCAAUAACAAUUACGUUACCAUUUGAUAAUGUUAUUAUUAGUAAUAUUAAUGUAUAUGCUAAAGGAACUCGGCAAAAUCACCGCUCAACUGUUUAUCAAAAACAUAGCUGUAUGGAUUAAUAUAUAGUUAUUUCUGCUCAAUGAUUUAAAUAGCCGCAGUACUCUGACUGUGCAAAGGUAGCAUAAUCAGUUGGCUUUUAAUUGGAGUCUGGCAUGAAUGAAAAUAUGGGUAGUAACUGUCUUAGUAUAUUACUUGAACUUAUUAAACAAGUGCAAAUGCUUGUAUUUACACAAUAGACGAGAAGACCCUAGAAACUUGAAUUGAUUUUUGUUGGGGCGACAGAAUUACAAUUAACUAAUUUUUAUUACAAGACGCAAGGUUGAAAGAAUAAGUUACUCUAGGGAUAACAGCAUAAUUUUAGUAGUUUGUGACCUCGAUGUUGGACUAGGUAUUAUACCCUUUAGACAAGGGUAUACCAUGCUCUGUUCGAGCAAGAUUACCUACAUGAUCUGAGUUCAGAC
rnacentral:rRNA from 1 species